rnacentral:rRNA from 1 species
UGGGGAAUAUUGGACAAUGGGGGGAACCCUGAUCCAGCCAUGCCGCGUGUGUGAAGAAGGCCUUUUGGUUGUAAAGCACUUUAAGUAGGGAGGAAUAGUUAUUGGUUAAUACCCAAUGAUGAUGACGUUACCUACAGAAUAAGCACCGGCUAACUCUGUGCCAGCAGCCGCGGUAAUACAGAGGGUGCGAGCGUUAAUCGGAAUUACUGGGCGUAAAGCGAGUGUAGGUGGCUUAUUAAGUCACAUGUGAAAUCCCUGGGCUUAACCUAGGAACUGCAUGUGAUACUGGUGAGCUAGAGUAUGUGAGAGGAAAGUAGAAUUCCAGGUGUAGCGGUGAAAUGCGUAGAGAUCUGGAGGAAUACCGAUGGCGAAGGCAGCUUUCUGGCAUAAUACUGACACUGAGACUCGAAAGCGUGGGUAGCAAACAGG